rnacentral:rRNA from 1 species
AAUGAACGCUGGCGGCAUGCCUAACACAUGCAAGUCGAACGGUAACACCGUAACUGCUUGCUCUUCCCGGGUGCCAGUCGGGGGAGUGAGACGUGUAUGUCCUACUCCACACUUCCGGAGGAGAUAGCGUAAGUACGUUUACUACCAUAUACGAUCGCACCUAGAGGUGAAAGUGGGAAGUUUUCGGGUCUUGCACGGUUCCGUGGCCCGAUGUCGGAUUAGCUAGUUAGUGGGGUAACGGCCCAGCGAGGCGACGACCCGUAGCUGGUCUGAGAGGAUGAUCAGCCACACGGGAACGGAGACACGGUCCAGACUCCUACGGGAGGCAGCAGUGGGGAAUAUUGGACAAUGGGCGCAAGCCUGAUCCAGCCAUACCGCGUGUGUGAAGAAGGCCUUCGGGUGGUAAAGCCCUUUUGCUGGGAAAGAAAAGCAUCAAGUUAAUACCCAGGUGUUCUGACGGUACCCGAAGAAGAAGCACCGGCUAACUUCGUG